CGUUAUACACAUUUGUCUGUCAGUUUGCCAAUCUGUUUACAAAAUAAUAUAAAUUUCUGUGAAUUGUGAAUUAAUUGAUACUUUAAAGGAUUCAGAAACCAUGCAACCAUCACUCUUCUAGAAUUCGUGACUGUAAAUAAGACAGGCUACAAGACAGUUGAGAUCACAUUUGAAAAUUGCACAUCUACAUGUAUCUGGAUUCUGCAUUAACAAACCAUUGCAUGCAGUCAGAAAGUCACAGGAACUACAUCUACAAAAUGAAGAUUGUGGAUUGGUGAAUGAGAAUGGUUGCCAUGACUAGUUUUGUUGUUGCCAUGGGGAGACAACUUGGCGUGCUGAUAUUUUUUGCUA